rnacentral:lncRNA from 1 species
GUUGAUUUCUCUGGCUUGACUUCAUCGCUUCCAAUGCACCACAAGCUCCCUCUUUAAGUAGUUCCAGUUCACCAUCAUGUAAGUUAUAGAAUAUGUUUACAAUUAUAAAAAAAUUAGGAAAUCUGUGAAUCAAGUUACACAGAAAAUUGACUCUUAGGGAAAAAAGAGAUGUGCUUUUAAUUAAAAAAAUCAUUUUUCUAAUUAAAUGAGGGUUAGCUGGAAUACCUUAACCACCUCUAACACUGGUGCUUGUUGCUUAUCUACUGACCUCCCUGUGCAGAUAUAUAGAUGUGCUACUGGAUUUACUUGGGCUGCUUCUUCCCUAGAAACAAGACAGCCCUUCAAUCUGAAAAAGAAGGGGAGAUAGAUUUGUAGUGUUAUAAAUUGUGAUGGUCUGUGACAUCCCACUGAUUGCUUAUUUGAUAAUCUUCAUUCUGACAUAUCAAGCAGCGCUGAAGUGGCCUUUGGAGAUCUCUGGAAAGCUGCACUGGACAACACUUUACUGAAGAAGAAUAACCAUAUCUGCCGUUAUUUUCCAGCAGGAUUCAUUUUGUUGAAGACACAAAACAAAAGCCUUUCUGUCACUGGGAAAUCACCUGAUUCUUUCAAAGUUAUAAGAGACUCCCCAACACUUCACCCUGAACUGUGAGAUGUCUAGCUAGCACCAGACAUGUCAUUCUCCCGUGCUGCAGCCAGCCUUUGUCUUUCCAGAUUUGCUGAGUGUGCUCCAAGGGACUGCAGCAGUGCUUUGCUGCUAGCUCUUGUCCUGCUUCCCGGAGAGCCAUUGUGCUGCACUGUGAGCAGGCAGGAUACUCGCCCCAGAGUGAGCUGUGAUGGAGGGACUGACACUGAAACUGCUGGAGAGGUAACAACACCGUUCCCACAAGCAGCCUUUCCGUGGCAGCUGUGUCCCACAUUGAGUCCUCUCCCUUUCUGUUACCUGAGACCUCAGGUGCAUUUAAGUAACACAGGAUUUGCAAAUGUCUCUCAGCACUACUCUGAGGAAGAAGAUAUACAUGUAUUUGGUGAGUCUUCUGUCUCCUAG